rnacentral:tRNA from 1 species
GUCUCAGUAGUGUAGUGGUUAGUGCACAGCCCCGGAUAGGUAGAGACGCGGGUUCGAAUCCCGCCUGAGAUG